ensembl:lncRNA
ACACACUCGCACACACACACACACACACACACACACACACACACACACACACACACACACACACACACACAAACACACACACUCACACACACACACACACACACACACACACACACACACAGACAAACACAGACACACACACACACACACACACACAGACACACACACACACACACACACACACACACACACACACACACACAGACACAGAGGCGCUGAUGGAACGCAGUGACAGCUUGACUCUUAUCUCAGGUGUGUGUGUCGGCAUACAGAUGAAAACAUGAUCAUGAUCUCAGCAGAUCGGGCCGUAUUGAUCAGCGGGAGUUUUAUGACAGACAUCAUGAGUUCAGUGAUCCUGACGAGCUCAGUAAACACACACCACUGUAAAAGCAACCAGAUUCAGAACACGGCCGUGUGUGUCCAAGAACACCAUCUGUUUGCUUUACGGACAGAAUCAACAGCGCAGAAGAGACAGAAAUACAAAAACACUCAACAGCUGAAACCAUCAGAGAAACUAUCUCAUUCUGCACUGUCUACUCACACACACACACACACACUCGGCCUGGUUCCUCAGUACAGAUGGGAUGUGGCUGACAGCGGUGAUGACAGAGCGGGAGAGAGUCUGGACUUCAAGGCCCUUGUAAGGCUGCUAGCUGUGAAAACACAGAUGAGAAUGUGAGGAAACGCUCUUAAAUUAGGUCCGAGGAGCUCCGGCCGCCGCUCAGCAGCACAUUCAUCUCAAUGGAGUCACUGCAGCUACAAGAUCACACCAGCUCAGUCUGACUGAAUUAAAUGGUUUGGUUGCAAAGCAAAAUAAGACUUUAUGACUUGAGCUCAUUUCUGGAUGAGAAAAGUGUAGUGAUGCUGCUGUCAGGAGGUGAUAAUAUUUAACAGGCAGAGAAAUGCGCCCCUAGAGGCAGAAGACAGAACUGCAUCAGAUUACUGUUUCAAAUCGGUUUGAAAAAUAGAACAAGAAAUUACCUUGAGACAGACUUUACCUUUAGAGUUAUCAAAACAGCCUCAAAAACCCAUUUUACUUCUCCUGCAUGCUGAGAGAGAGAUCAAAAGUGACGUUAAA